UUAUUUUUAAUAGCAGCAAUUGAUUGCUUUUCUUAAAUUAACGCUAAUUAUUGUAUAAAAUUAGAAAUGGAAAGUGAUAUUGUGGUGCACAAUUACUUCUCUGAAAAAGAAAUACAGGACACCAAACAUGAAAUAAUAUUAAAUUUCAACGAUAUUUAUGAGUGUCGUUGCUGUGAGAUAUUUUUAACAAAGAAUAAAACAUUGAAAUUUCAUUGUUCAGUAUGUGAUGCUAUAUCCAACAAUUUUGACGAUAUGAAGACGCAUUUAACAAAAACACAUUUUCAAAACAUAGAACUUAAAGAAUUAUUUAUCUCAGAUGACGACUUCGCUGAAGGUUAUAAAAAUGAAUUCUACCAAGAAGAAUAUUUAGAGGACAUCAGUUUGAAUGUUGAAGAUAUAAUAGAAGAUCAAUCUUCGGUCAUAACUGAAGAUAUGCAGCAACGCAUAAAGAAAGAAGUGGAUAAUUGUUUAACUGAAGAAGAGGAAGAAGAAUUCUAUGUAAAAAAAGAAAUAGAUAAUUGUUCAACUGACGAAGAAUUUGAAUUUAUCAGUAAUGCUGCACCAAAAGCAGCAGAGUCGCCUUACAAGUGCAGUUCAACAACCUUUAAAACAAGUUGCCGUCCACCAGUUCCUUCCGAGCUACAAAAUCGCGUUCAGUUUGAUCCAACAAAUGAAGAACUCGAGUCAAACGAAGAACUUUCCAACUCAACUCUUGUAUUUGAUAAGGAGGAGGUUUCGUUAUACGAAAAUGUUAAUAAUGCCAAAGAAAUUUCAAACCAAGAUAUUAAAGCAAAAAAAAUAGAAAAUAAGACACAUUUAAUAUAUACCAAAAAAUAUUACUGUAAACACUGCAAUGAAAGUUUUCUAAUGAGAAAUAAAAUGUAUGCCCACGCUAGAUCUCAUAUAACAGAAAAAAAAUAUAAAUGUGAUAUUUGUGGCACGGCAUUUAAGGAAGCAUUUAAUUUACGUCAACAUAAAAAACGGCACACUGAUGAAAAGACGUUAUCAUGUAGUCUAUGUACAAAAAAAUUCUUUACACGCGCCGAAUUAAGAUUACAUGAACAACGUCAUAAAGGUGCUCGUCCAUUUAUGUGCACUGUUUGUGGUUUGACUUAUGCUACCGCUGGAUUGCUAACAGAACACAUGAAACGUCACACUAAUACACGACCCAAGAAGUGUGAUGUCUGUGCAAAAAGCUUUUAUAACAGUGCACAAUUAAAUUCGCACAUGUUAACUCAUCAACCAGAAGAACGUAACCAUAUUUGUAAAUUUUGUAAUGUAGGUUUCCAGCGUCGUAAAACACUCGUUGCACAUAUCAAAUUGCAUGAAAACAAAAAGGAAUACAAAUGCAGAAUAUGUCAAAUGGGUUUCAAUCAGAGGCCAGCACUUUAUAUGCAUCUUAAAAAGAAGCACGACAUUGCUCAAAAAAAUGAAGACAAUUCAGAAGAUAAAUAGAAUCUCCACAACAACAAUGUACUAUUACUCACUAUAUUAAUGAGUAAUAGAAAGAAAAUUAUAUUGCAAAGACCCUUGAUGAAAUGGAAGAACUUAAUAUACGUGAGUCAAUAAAUUCGUCAACAAAUACAACUUCAGAAAUAAAAAAUAUUG